rnacentral:rRNA from 1 species
CCUACGGGUGGCUGCAGUCGAGAAUCUUCGGCAAUGGGCGCAAGCCUGACCGAGCGACGCCGCGUGCGGGAUGAAGGCCUUCGGGUUGUAAACCGCUGUCGUAGGGGAGGCCGAUCCUAGGAGGAAGGGCCGGCUAAUCUCGUGCCAGCAGCCGCGGUAAUACGAGAGGCCCAAACGUUAUUCGGAUUUACUGGGCUUAAAGAGUUCGUAGGCGGCGCAGAAAGUAGGGUGUGAAAGCCCUCGGCUCAACCGAGGAAUUGCGCUCUAAACUACUACGCUCGAGGAACCUAGAGGUGAGCAGAACUGAUGGUGGAGCGGUGAAAUGCGUUGAUAUCAUCAGGAAUACCGGAGGCGAAGGCGGCUCACUGGGUUUUCUGACGCUGAGGAACGAAAGCCAGGGGAGCGAACGGGAUUAGAUACCCUUGUAGUC